GCUCCCAUAGUUCAAUGGAUAGAAUGAUUCCUUGCGGAGGAAUUGAUCGGGGUUCGAAUCCUCGUGGGAGCA
rnacentral:tRNA from 1 species